CAGAAAAAGCACAUGCAUUUCACAUGUUUUUCACAUGUUGUUCACAUGUGGUCACAUGUGACCACAUGUUAUCACAUGUUAUCACAUGUGGACAACAUGUGCUCACAUGUGGACAAUUUAUGGUCACAUGUGGAAAAUAUGUGCUCACAUGUGGACAACAUGUGCUCACAUGUGGACAAUUUAUGCUCACAUGUGGAAAAUAUGUGCUCACAUGUGGACAAUAUGUGCUCACAUGUGGACAAUUUAUGCUCACAUGUGGAAAAUAUGUGCUCACAUAUGGACAAUAUUACCACGUGUGAACAACAUCUCACCACAUGUUGCAACAUAAUAGUGCACAUGUGGAACAUGUUAUAACAAAGCACAUGUGAGAAAUGUCUUAUAUAAUGCAAUACUUUCAACAUGUGGAUCACAUGUUACCAAACCACAAGUAGGCUAAUGUUUGCGUAAACAUCAACUUUCGGCUUUACUGUGCAUCAACAAGUGUGAUAAUGUGUACUUUGGUUCCAAUGAUAAAUUGUAUAAAUACAUUUGAAAUCUGCAUAAAGGCAAUAUACACACAAAUGUGGUAGCAGAUUUUUUUUAAUCUUUAUUUUGACAAAAUUAUCUAUUUACAAAAAUUGACAAUAUAUUUUUAAAAAGAUAUUUGGUUGCUGGCAGGUGGCAUGUUGUAAUAGAAUAAGACUUAAUAUUUGGAGAAGGGUUUGCAGACAAUAUUGUCAGUCCUACAAUUGCAAUAAAGGCAAUGGAAGCUUAGUUACAGGGCAUUAUCAUGGAAAAAAUAUGCAUUAAUUGCAAUCUUGCAUAUCCAAGGAACACAGAAUUAUUUGAUGGCUCUGCUGUGCCUGUGCAAAUAAGGGGUAUAUUGAUCCGCAUUUAACCAAUCCCAGUGAGCAUGCGCAAGCACACACGCACGCAGGCACACACGCGCGCACACACUCCUCUUUUUUUCUAGGCGGUUCCAAUCUGUUCUGUGUAUUCAUCUUUAUUUACAGUCUAUCGUAUUCAUUCAUCCAGAUCAUCCAGUCAAAAGGCUUUUUCGACUUCAUACGGCGCCAAAAGAACUGACAGGCCGAUGACGUCAAAGUAUCGCGAAAGCGAUUCGAGGAGUCUGCUUUCAAAUCGCUCUCGCGGAACUUUGACGUUGUACGUCUGUCAGUUGAUCUGGUUAAUGUGAUUCGCGCUCUUUAUCCGUUGCAACUUGCUGAGGUAAAUCUAAGUAAGACGAGAAAGUUGAACCUUGCUCAUUAAAUGGAUAAAAGAAAACCAUGUAAGAGUUGGUUUGGAUAAAUAUGCGAAGGACAAUACAUGUUAAGUGACCCAAAGACGGUUGGUCUUGUGGACAACGAGGAACAAAACGCCUAAAGGCGGUUGGAAAGCGUUUCCAGCACAAAUACUCAACGUGAACGGUAAGUGAAUUUCAUUUAAUUCGUUUAUUUAACUUUUAUAGGUUUUAAGUCGCCUCAUGGUAAACAUGUUUAUUUGAUAAGUCAUGUUAAACAUGCUACGCAGGCUGCUAUUUUUAAAUGUUGAGCUAACAUAAAUGGGAAAUAUAACAACACGCGCCUCCCACCUUAAACUGAACUCAGACCAGCGCUUGCACAGCAGUCUGACAGGACCGAUCUCCGAAUUGAUACACGUUAUAAAACCACAACUUGUGAGUAAAGUUGUAAAAAAAAACAAUGUCGUUUGAUAGCAACAAUAUCUAAAACAAUGUAUUUUUGAGGUGAUUCCAUUUCUGACAGAAAUAGGUUUAAGUUAAUCAGGUAACUUGUUUUUAACAAAUAAAUUUCAUUUAUUAAAAUGGAAAGUCUAUAAAAUAUUUUUAUGCUUUCAUUUAUGUUAUUUUAUACUCUGCAAGAUACUGUUGUAUAAUCACUUUUGCUUUACUUCAAUACAGAGAGCCUUGGGUAAAAAAAGGCAGAGUACCAGUGGUUAAAGACACACAAAAUGUGGACGUCAAAACAAAUGGCUACAUUUGCUCAUGAGGAAGAUGAUAACGAAGAGGAUGAGACUCCUUCAAACCAUAAGAUAGUGGAUGAUUCACACUCAACUGCAAAGCAAUGAAAGAUACUUGAAGGUGUGCAUCACGAAACUCAACGAACUCAGAACACAUCUGUCAUUAAAUUGAACCCAGUCACCUUGGAUUAUGCCCAAAAGUGUGAGAAUUACAAGAAACGCACCAGAACUGUGAUGGACUCCAUUUCCACCUUAGAAAAAAUGACAACAUGCUCCGUCACAGGGAAAAAGGGACCACUGGUGAACAAAGACAGAGUCCUGACAGAGAAAGUGAAGCUAGUAAUAGGGAGCCUGCUGGAAGAGAAUCUGAGGACUGAUGCACAUAUAACAAUGGACAUGCAUAAAGACACAUCUCUCUCUCUCUCUCUCUCUCUCUCUCUCUCUCUCUCUCUCUCUCUCUCUCUCUCUCUCUCUCUCACACACACACACACACACACACACACACACACACACACUCAGAUAUACAGUUGUUGUUGUAUGGACAGCAUUUUAUUGAUACUUGUUUUUUUAUGAAUAUGUUUGGAUACUUGUUAAAAUUUGCUGUAUGUUUGCAAAUAAAUUCUCCAUUUGAAUCAGUUUUUCCUUACAGUAAAAUGUGUCUUAUGUCAAAGUCACAUCAUGGUGCCUUUAUUUUAUAUCACCGACAUCUUAGCAAGAUUAUAGCUUACCCUUGGGGUCAAAUGGUGAGUUUGAGUCCUGGGUUAUGAUAAGAAAAUGUAUGGCCUACUUUAUAUACUUUAACUCUCAAGUUCACAUGUGAAAAAAUACGUGAUCACAUGAGACCCAUGUGAUCACAUGUGCAUAAUGUGAUGACAAUUUUUUGUUUCACAUGGGAAUUUGCAUGUGUUUAACAUGUGAUCCCAUGUGCUUCACAUGGAAAUUCACAUGUGCAUAAUGUGAUGACAAUUUUUUGUUUCACAUGGGAAUUUGCAUGUGUUUAACAUGUGAUCCCAUGUGCUUCA